rnacentral:lncRNA from 13 species
GAACUCUUGAUUUCUCUAUUUCAAGAGUCCCAUAGGAAUGUCCAGACAAGCUUAUGUAGAUAUCCUUCUUACAGGAACAAUGGACAAUACUGGAGCCAGGAUCUGUCUACAGUAUUCACAUUAAGUUUUGUGGAUUGAAGAGUACAGAUGUGUGCAGCAACAGUUUUGUCAGGCGCAGCAGUUAUAAGUCAUGUUCUGGCUUUGCAUCCUAGAAUUGAUAUCAAGUUUUCAUACAUAUUUGUUCCAUAUGAGACUUCCAAAAAAAUUCAGGAGUGCCAGUUCCAAGGGAGAUGAAGGAGUCCUGUGGGUGAUCAUGUUGACAGGAGGACUAACAAAAAUAUGUGAAAAGAAUCUUGGAUUUUCAGCUGGGAAACCUAGAAGGUAAUUCUUUCAAAUCUGUGUGUGCUCAAGAGUUAGGUUGUAAACAAGAAAAUCUGAUUUUGGUUUACCAACCAAACAGGAGUAGAGCAGCGAACAGAGGAAAUAAUUAAACAACAUUUUGAGAAUGUGAGCAACUAUACCAAAAAUUUGUGGCUUAAAACAAUCAUCAUUUUAUUUGCUCAUGAUUCUGUGGGUCAGUGAUUUGGGGUAGGCUCAAAUUAUUUAAUUUCUUUCUAAGUAUAUACCCAAAAUCAUACUGAAGUUUUAUCAGACACAAUUAUUGAAUUACCUAUCAGAUGAUACUUUAAUUAGAUUAGGUUGAGUAGGUUUUUUUCCAUUUAGUAGAAAGUGAAAAUGGGAAACAACUUAGAAAUUAACACAUUGGAUGUUGAUUAGAAUUGCUGAUCUCUCUUUUUUUUUCUUUUAAACUUGAGUUGUUGCAGUGAAUUAAGUGGUUACUGGUGAGUGGGUCUGUUGGGUGAGAGAUGGUCUCAAUCACAUGACAUAAUGUUGGUGAUGACUGUCUUCUGG